rnacentral:rRNA from 1 species
CAGUCGCCACGGUAAUACAGAGGAUGCAAGCGUUAUCCGGAUUUAUUGGGCGUAAAGGGAGCGCAGGCGGUUUAGUAAGUCUGAAGUUAAAGGCAUUGGCUCAACCAAUGUAUGCUUUGGAAACUGUUAGACUUGAGUGCAGAAGGGGAGAGUGGAAUUUCCGGUGUAGCGGUGAAAUGCGUAGAUAUCGGAAGGAACACCUGUGGCGAAAGCGGCUCACUGGACCAUUUCUGACGCUGAUGCACGAAAGCUAGGGGAGCAAACAGGAUUAGAUACCCCCGUAGUCCCUGUCUCUUAUACA